GAUUAGCUAGUUGGUGAGGUAAUGGCUCACCAAGGCGACGAUCCGUAACUGGUCUGAGAGGAUGAUCAGUCACACUGGAACUGAGACACGGUCCAGACUCCUACGGGAGGCAGCAGUGGGGAAUAUUGGACAAUGGGCGAAAGCCUGAUCCAGCCAUGCCGCGUGUGUGAAGAAGGUCUUCGGAUUGUAAAGCACUUUAAGUUGGGAGGAAGGGCAUUAACCUAAUACGUUAGUGUUUUGACGUUACCGACAGAAUAAGCACCGGCUAACUUCGUGCCAGCAGCCGCGGUAAUACGAAGGGUGCAAGCGUUAAUCGGAAUUACUGGGCGUAAAGCGCGCGUAGGUGGUUCGUUAAGUUGGAUGUGAAAGCCCCGGGCUCAACCUGGGAACUGCAUCCAAAACUGGCGAGCUAGAGUACUGUAGAGGGUGGUGGAAUUUCCUGUGUAGCGGUGAAAUGCGUAGAUAUAGGAAGGAACACCAGUGGCGAAGGCGUCCACCUGGACUGAUACUGACACUGAGGUGCGAAAGCGUGGGGAGCAAACAAGAUUAGAUACCCUGGUAGUCCACGCCGUAAACGAUGUCAACUAGUCGUUGGGUUCCUUGAGAACUUAGUGCGCAGCUAACGCAUUA
rnacentral:rRNA from 1 species